rnacentral:tRNA from 2 species
GCGGCUGUAGUGUAGUGGUUAGCACAUGGGCCUGCCACGCUCAUGACUCGGGUUCGAAUCCCGACAGCCGCA